rnacentral:rRNA from 1 species
AUUGAACGCUGGCGGCAGGCUUAACACAUGCAAGUCGAGCGGGGGAAGGUAGCUUGCUACCGGACCUAGCGGCGGACGGGUGAGUAAUGCUUAGGAAUCUGCCUAUUAGUGGGGGACAACAUCUCGAAAGGGAUGCUAAUACCGCAUACGUCCUACGGGAGAAAGCAGGGGAUCUUCGGACCUUGCGCUAAUAGAUGAGCCUAAGUCGGAUUAGCCGGUUGGUGGGGUAAAGGCCUACCAAGGCGACGAUCUGUAGCGGGUCUGAGAGGAUGAGCCGCCACACUGGGACUGAGACACGGCCCAGACUCCUACGGGAGGCAGCAGUGGGGAAUAUUGGACAAUGGGGGGAACCCUGAUCCAGCCAUGCCGCGUGUGUGAAGAAGGCCUUAUGGUUGUAAAGCACUUUAAGCGAGGAGGAGGCUACUCUAGUUAAUACCUAGGGAUAGUGGACGUUACUCGCAGAAUAAGCACCGGCUAACUCUGUGCCAGCCGCCGCAGUAA